CAUUUUGUAUCACAUGUGAUAGCAUCUCCUGCUGGGGACAUUAAAGAACUACAGUUAAAACCCCAAAUGACUUAACCUACAAGAAGCCAAACACUUUUAAUGUCUUGAAAUGAGUCUAAAUGACAUAUAGAAAACAUUUAGGAGUGGUUGUCAUGUGACAUGUGUCAUGUGACUAUCACAGCAGGAUGUAGCUUCCCCAAAAUGGCAGUGUCAGUGUUGGGUUGCGGCUUGAACAGAGAACCCCAAUUUUCCAGGCCAGUCUGAGUCUUCACCAAAGUCUCCUGCUGAUUGGAUGUUCCACGAACCCUUCAGGAGGGUCCCUGACCCAAUGCCCGUGCCACCUUAUUUGGCUUCUCUUCUCAUGAGGAGCAGGGGCAUUACUCCGAGUACCUUCCGGAUGACAGAACUUUUACAAAGCCACCUUUGGAGGAAACUCUGCCACGGGCACCUGCAAUUUUGUCCUUUUGAUCACUUCCCAAAACUACUGACCACAGAUCAAAUGAAAGCCUCCUGUGAAGGCGCCAGGGUUGUUUCGUCUGUCCAGCACCACCCUUAGCGUAUCCAGCUGUACGGCCGGGCAGAGGCGAGCCGUCACGACACUGGUGCAGGCCAUGGUGGGGCUGGCGUUGACCUCAAGAAGCCAAGGCCUCAGAUCGUUGCCCAACAUAAAGUCGGCACCGUAUAACUCAAAGCUUGACCUGCGGUGCUCCACCUUGUCCUGGGCUGUCUGCAAGGUGUGGACCACAGCUUGCUGCAUGCCCGGCACCACCAGCGUCUCCCACUUGGCCUCGCGACCCUGCUGCUGCAGAAAGUUCCUAAAGUCAGAGCAGGACCACAUAUUAUCCUUGGGCACGCUCGGGUGGCGCUCGCGUGAUGGCUGAAAAUGCUUCUGGAUGGCGUUGUUGCACAAGUGGACCGAGCUAGGCAGGACAACAGAGAUGAUGAUUCAUUUUAAACAGCAGUUUAAUCCUUAUUACAUUUUUGUGUCUCCCACACCUAUCAAGUUUUUUUGUAGAGUAGGGCUGAGUGGAGAAGCGCAGGUAGCACUCCUUGUAGAACCAGACGGUCAGCGGAUUCCAGUCGGUGACAAGGAACCACUGACGCACAUCAAACUUGGUGUUGUUGACCAGCAGAGGACGCUCAAGGUAUUUCUGAACCACCCACUUGCUAUCUUUCACCACAGUUCGGUCUGAUUCCACCAGCGCUAAAAUGUCCUCCAGACGAUUCAUGCAAACGAUACCUGCAUGGUGAUCACAUCAUGGCGACAGGAUCAGAACUUUGGGCCAGCACAUACUAUGGUUACAUGAAAACUCUGUAUAUAAUUAAUAACUAUUAAAACAAGCAAUUGCUUCACCUCGCCCUCUUGACAUUGCUCCUGGUUUGAUUAUCCAAAUAUUAUUAACGCCAUCGACAUCCAGCUGUGGACAAACUUCCUGCAUUUGGACCAACAUGGCCUGGCAGCGGCCCACAAACUCUGCGCUGCCUCUGAUGGAUGCACCUUUGCUUUUAACACAAAUAUCAAAGUAUCAAUAUCAUAAUGCAAUAUGGACUCAUUUAUAUAGUGUCUCAAAAAGCUGAGCACACCCCUCACAUUUCAGCCACCAUUUUGGGACAAACAAAAAAGUGAACCAAACCUGCGCUCAUUUUUUCUCUACUUUAAAUUGUGAAUAAUUACUUUUUCAAUGGUAAAUUAAAUGACUAAGUGGUUUGAUGGCGCUAUGUGCAGGCAGAAAAAAAGUGCUGUAGCCAUAGAUCCAAUGUUUUCCAGCAGGAAGAUGCUCUGACAAGAGGUCAUUUUGAAAGUAAAUUGUUUAUUAAUAAGUGAAACAGAAUUUGACAUGUGUUUAAUGUCUGUUAAGAGGCAUAAUAUAGGAUUUAGCAGGUCAAAAAUAGGCAUUUUCAGUUAUUUUUAUGUGUGUGUCUAUCAGUUGUGGUUUUUCGGCAUU